CUCAGCUUUCUUCACAGUCCAAGUUUCACAUCCAUACAUGACCACUGGAAAAACCAUAGCCUUGACUAGAUGGACCUUUGUUGGCAAAGUAAUGUCUCUGCUUUUGAAUAUGCUGUCUAAGUUGGUCAUAACUUUCCUUCCAAGGAAUAAGCGUCUUUUAAUUUCAUGGUUGCAAUCACCAUCUGCAGUGAUUUUUGAGCCCCAAAAAUAAAGUCUGACACCGUCUCCACUGUUUCCCCAUCUAUUUCCCUUGAAGUGAUGGCACCAGAUGCCAUGAUCUUCGUUUUCUGAAUGUUGAGCUUUAAGCUAACUUUUUCACUCUCCUCUUUCACUUUCAUCAAGAGGCUUUUUAGUUCCUCUUCACCUUCUGCCAUAAGGGUGGUGUCAUCUGCAUAUCUGAGGUUAUUGAUGUUUCUCCCAGCAAUCUUGAUAUGAUAGUUCAACUCAAUUCUCCAAAUAGUCUAUUUAUAUUUAAAGAGAAUGUUUUCCUACUUUCUUAAUUAUUUGAAUCAAAUAUAAGCAUUUCUAAUUUCAUGGAAACAGACAUUCUGUUUAUAAAAUUAGUAAUUCAUAUUUUAUCAUUGUGUAUGCUCAGUUACUUCAGUCAUGUCCGACUCUUUGCAACCCCAUGGACUGUAGCCUGCCAGCUUCCUCUGUUAAUGUGAUUCUCCAGUAUUCUUGCCUGGGAAAUCCCAUAGACAGAGGAGCCUGGAGGGCCACAGUCCAUGGAGUCGCAGAGUCAGAUGCAACUGAGCAUCCACACAAGCUCUGUGAAGAUUGCAAGGAGAAAACAAAUACCCAUUUUUCUUCAAAUCCAUUUGGAAGUAAGUUGCCCGUCUCCUCUUUUAAAUAUGUUAGUGUGCAUUUCCUAAGAAUAAAAAAUAAGAAUAAAAAAAAUUAAAAAAAAGACGUUCUGCUUCCUAAUCACAAUUUAGUCAUCAAAAUCAGAAAGCUGACAUUGAUAUAUUACUGCAACUAAUUCUCAGACUAGUUAGCUUUUAUUAAGUGUUUCAGUAAUGCCAUUUAUAACAAAAUGAUCCAGUUUAGAGUCAUGUUUUGUGUUUAGCUGCUAUGUCUUUUUAGCUUUAUUCAAUCUGAUACAGUUUCUCAAUCUUUUAAUUUCAUGACUUUGACACAUUUAAUGAUUACAGGGCAAUAUUUUGGUAGUCAGUCAGUUUAUUUGAUGUUUCCUCAUAAUUAGCUUGAGAGUGUGAAUCUUUGGGAAGAAUAUCAUAGAAGUGUGCUUCCUGGGACCUAACUGGGAACCACAGCCUUGGGAGGUCAGGAAAGGCCAGAGAAUACCACAGAAGAGAUCCUGUGCUCUUCAUUGCAUCCUCUCAGAACUGUGAAGCUGGAGGCCACUCAGGUUCCAAAUUUGUGACAAAUUCCCCAGGGCUCAUUGGAGUGGCAGACAAAUAAACAUAUAGACAACUAAAUCACAGAGUGGAAGGAGAUGACGACUGUGACAUGUGUGCAGAGGAGCAGCGAUAAAUUGAGUGUGGAGAGGAAUAUAUCUGUAUUUCAUGAAGAGAUUCUUGAAAAGGAGGUAGGUUUAUGGUUGCUAGACCUAGCAUUCAAUUAAUAGCUUAUGAAUAAUAUGAGUUGUUAUUAGAUAUUUAUUGUUUUUUGUAUUCAAUCCUGCUAGAUGAAAAAAUAAUAAUUUUAAAUCUAAAAAUUGUGACAGGUAAAACAUGUUUAUAAGCAUUCAUGUCAUAUUUGUAUUUCUUUUGGGGGCAAUGUGAAGUCAAGUCAGAGGAAAGUGACUAUCUAAGGGGCUCUUUUAGGGAUAACUAAUAUUUGAGUUAAAUGUAGAUAAUUAGAGUCUGUCAUACAGUAUGAAGUAAGUCAGAAAGAGAAAAAUAUCAUAUGUUAAUGCAUGUGUAUGAACUUUUUAGAAAUGAUACAGAUGAACCUAUUUGCAGGGCAGGAAUAGAGCUGCAGAUGUCUAGAAUGUACUUGUGGACACAGUUGGGGAAAGAGAGGGUGGGAUGAAAUGAGAGAAUAACAUUGAAAUUUAUAUACUACUAUGGGCUUCCCUGAUAGCUCAGUUGGUUAAAAAUUCCGCCUGCAAUGCAAGAGACCUCAGUUCGAUUCCUAGGUCAGGAAGAUCUGCUGGAGAAGGAAUAGGCUUCCCACUCCAGUAUUCUUGGGCUUCCCUGGUGGCUCAGCUGGUAAAGAAUCCCCCUGCAAUGCAGGAGACCUGGGUUUGAUCCCUGGGUUGGGAAGAUCCCAUAGUGAAGGGAAAGGCUAUCCACUCCAGUAUUCUGGCCUGGAGAAUUCCAUGGACUGGUAUAGUCCAUGGGGUUGCAAAGAGUCUGACAUGACUGAGAGACUUUCACUUCACUUCAUUUUAUGUGUAAAAUAGACCGUUAGGGGGAAGCUGCUAUAUAGUGCAGGGAGCUCAGAUUGGUACUCUGGGAUGUAACUUAAAGGAGUGGGAUGUGGGGUGGGAGGGAAGCUCAAGAGGGAGG
ensembl:lncRNA